UUUCGCAAGUGUAGAAAAUUAAAACAGGUUCCCCUUCCUCAAGCAAAGUCAGAAGGUCAAGAAUAAAGUGACAUUUAGUUUUUGUUAUAAAGGUUUGAAAAAGCAAAAAUAAAACCAUUGUUUUGUUUUUUUGUGUUUUACACAGAGUAAUAGGGCUUAAAGCAGGGAUAUCAAACAUA